rnacentral:rRNA from 1 species
UACGGGGGGGGCAAGCGUUGUUCGGAAUUACUGGGCGUAAAGGGCUCGUAGGCGGCCAACUAAGUCGGAUGUGAAAUCCCCAGGCUCAACUUGGGAACUGCAUCCGAUACUGGAUGGCUUGAAUUCGGGAGAGGGAUGCAGAAUUCCAGGUGUAGCGGUGAAAUGCGUAGAUAUCUGGAGGAAUACCGGUGGCGAAGGCGGCAUCCUGGACCGACAUUGACGCUGAGACACGAAAGCGUGGGUAGCAAACAGG